rnacentral:ncRNA from 1 species
CCGGCGGGACGACCCGCCGCGAGCCUCCAUCCAUGGGGACGACCCCG